GCUGGCGGCGUGCCUAAUACAUGCAAGUCGAGCGAACAGAAAAGGAGCUUGCUCCUUUGACGUUAGCGGCGGACGGGUGAGUAACACGUGGGCAACCUACCCUAUAGUUUGGGAUAACUCCGGGAAACCGGGGCUAAUACCGAAUAAUCUCUUUUGCUUCAUGGCAAGAGACUGAAAGACGGCAUCUCGCUGUCGUUAUAGGAUGGGCCCGCGGCGCAUUAGCUAGUUGGUGAGGUAACG
rnacentral:rRNA from 1 species